ensembl:lncRNA
AUUCGAUUCUAAUCUCCGACCCAUUUGUGAAACAUCACAUGACGUUGGAAGUAUCACAGAGAAAACGCCAAGCGGAUGUCUGCGAACCCUGGAAAGCAUCAACAAGCAUCAAGAAAUAGCUCGACAUCUUCCAGCAGAGGAGACUCCGACUGGCUGGCCACGUCGUCAGAAUGGAGAAUCAGCAUGAAUACGUUUAUCCAAGACCUAUGGACAUUGAAUAUCAAGUGGGGUGACGCUGAGAUCCUGGCCGGAGACUGGAAAUGUUGGUUGGAACAGGCCCCGUCCACGGCUGGUGAUGGACUCUGCCCUAUUAGCAUAGCUCCUCCCCUGAGUGAGCUGCACACAUUCUGCCAUGUUUUCUGCACUGGAGCAGCUACAGUGAUUCUUCAUGUACUCCCGGCAUCAGAGCCACUGGAGGCACAGUGGAGAUGUUUUAUUUUUGAAGGAAAUAUGGCCCCAAAAAUUGUAUGUUUGUGUGAAUCAUUUUAUACCAGAC